rnacentral:misc_RNA from 1 species
AAGUCGUAACAAGGUUUCCGUAGGUGAACCUGCGGAAGGAUCAUUAACACUUUUCUUUACUAUUAUCAAUACCAAUGAGCACCUGUCUGAGCCUCUCGGCUGUCGAAGGUCGUCUGGGGAAUGGUUGGACUACUUUAGUAAUCCUCUCUUCGAAGAAGGAUUAGUAGAGUAUGCAUCGCCCUGGUCUGCUGUUAAGUUAGCCCGUCAAUCGGUCUGUCUUCUUUCUUCAUUGAAGGAGCAUCUGAUCGAAAGGCGAUCGGUCUAACGCUUCGAUGGUGACAUUUUUUUUUUUCUUUUAACCUUUUUGAUAUUUGUACUGAUUUGGGCUAUGGAUUUGAGAGGAGUAACGUCCUUUCUCUAUGGCUGUUGAUAGACCGUUACUGGUCUCUUCAAUAACAACCAAAACACAACUCUUAACAGCGGAUAUCUCGGUUCUC